GGGGAUUUAGCUCAGCGGUAGAGCGCUUGCCUAGCAAGCGCAAGGCCCUGGGUUCGGUCCCCAGCCCCCCCA
rnacentral:tRNA from 1 species